UACGUAGGGUGCGAGCGUUGUCCGGAAUUACUGGGCGUAAAGAGCUCGUAGGUGGUUUGUCGCGUUGUUCGUGAAAACCGGGGGCUUAACCCUCGGCGUGCGGGCGAUACGGGCAGACUUGAGUACUGCAGGGGAGACUGGAAUUCCUGGUGUAGCGGUGGAAUGCGCAGAUAUCAGGAGGAACACCGGUGGCGAAGGCGGAUCUCUGGGCCAUUACUGACGCUGAGGAGCGAAAGCGUGGGGAGCGAACAGG
rnacentral:rRNA from 1 species